AGUGGACGCUGGCGGUAGGCCUAACACAUGCAAGUCGAACGGCAGCACAGUAAGAGCUUGCUCUUACGGGUGGCGAGUGGCGGACGGGUGAGGAAUACAUCGGAAUCUACUUUUUCGUGGGGGAUAACGUAGGGAAACUUACGCUAAUACCGCAUACGACCUACGGGUGAAAGCAGGGGAUCUUCGGACCUUGCGCGAUUGAAUGAGCCGAUGUCGGAUUAGCUAGUUGGCGGGGUAAAGGCCCACCAAGGCGACGAUCCGUAGCUGGUCUGAGAGGAUGAUCAGCCACACUGGAACUGAGACACGGUCCAGACUCCUACGGGAGGCAGCAGUGGGGAAUAUUGGACAAUAGGCGCAAGCCUGGUCCAGCCAUACCGCGUGGGUGAAGAAGGCCUUCAGGUUGUAAAGCCCUGUUGUUGGGAAAGAAAAGCAGCAGGUUAAUACCCCGCUGUUCUGACGGUACCCAAAGAAUAAGCACCGGCUAACUUCGUG
rnacentral:rRNA from 1 species